CCUACGGGAGGCAGCAGUGGGGGAUAUUGCACAAUGGGGGAAACCCUGAUGCAGCGACGCCGCGUGUGGGAAGACGGUCCUCUGGAUUGUAAACCACUGUCCCCAGGGACGAAGAUGACGGUACCGGGGGAGGAAACGCCGGCUAACUACGUGCCAGCAGCCGCGGUAAGACGUCGGGAGCGAGCGUUGUCCGGAAUUACUGGGCGGAAAAGGAGCGUAGGCGGGACUGCAAGUUGGGUGUCAAAUCUACCGGCUCAACCGGUAGCCGCACUCAAAACUGCAGUUCUUGAGUGAAGUAGAGGCAGGCGGAAUUCCUCGUGUAGCGGUGCAAUGCGUAGAUAUUAGGUGGAACACCAGUGGCGCCGGCGGCCUGCUGGGCUUUUCCUGCCGCUGAGGCUCG
rnacentral:rRNA from 1 species